GGGGCCUUAGCUCAGCUGGGAGAGCGUCUGCUUUGCACGCAGGAGGUCAGGAGUUCGAUCCUCCUAGGCUCCACCA
rnacentral:tRNA from 1 species